rnacentral:miRNA from 1 species
AAGCAGUCAAACCCUCGCGCU